UACGGGGGGGGCAAGCGUUGUUCGGAAUUACUGGGCGUAAAGGGCUCGUAGGCGGCCAACUAAGUCAGACGUGAAAUCCCUCGGCUUAACCGGGGAACUGCGUCUGAUACUGGAUGGCUUGAGUUCGGGAGAGGGAUGUGGAAUUCCAGGUGUAGCGGUGAAAUGCGUAGAUAUCUGGAGGAACACCGGUGGCGAAGGCGGCAUCCUGGACCGACACUGACGCUGAGGCGCGAAGGCCAGGGGAGCAAACGGG
rnacentral:rRNA from 1 species